rnacentral:lncRNA from 1 species
GGCAAAGAGCAGGAGAGUGCACGUGACUGAGAUCAACACCAUCUCCUGUAACAGUCAUCAGUGAUAUCAACACAAGGCCCAUCUGCGGCAUCAUGCCAAUUAACCAGGCUGUGUCGUUAAAGGGGCAUUCAGUCAAUUUUCAUCUCCAUGUGCUUGUCAUUGAUUCCUAGCAGAUUUGAUAGGGCAGCGGGAGGAAAAGUCGUUCAGCUGCGGUGUCUCCCAUGAAAGCUCAGGAAAGUACCAGACUUUUACAAGGUGUUGGAUACAUUUUGUAACAAAUGAGAGGUCUAUUAUCAUUAAUGUGGCGAGUUAAUGAAAGCCACAGAUCCCCAGAGGACGGGCGGUGACAGAUGGAGAGAAACAAUGGGCUUCCAACUGCAACAAACACGGGGAAGAAGCCCAGCGAGGACAAACACAGAGAGGGAAACACACAGCGCCAGAGACCCACACUCCUCCGGCAGAGCCGAGUUAUUAUCAGUGAUGGCUGGAAACAGGAGGAGGAGAUAGCUCAGUGAAGCACAGGAAGCAGCAGGAGGGAGAAGGCCAUACGUUUGGUGUUGGGGUGUGAUUGUAGUGAAAACUUUUGAUUAGUUUAGAGUAGAGUUACUGCAGGAGGUCCGCCUGAUAUCAAAUCCAGAGAAGAGCAAACAACUAUCCAAACUCCUAACAUGGACACUAACUUAGCAGGCUACAUUUACUCUUUUUAAGUGCUUCAGUAGGUAUCAAUACUUUACUGAUGUAUUUAAAUUUUAUACAACUUUACACUUCUACUUCACUCAGAGGAGAAUAAUGGACCUUUUUACUUCAGUAUGUUUAUUCUAGAGAUGAAACAAAUUGUUGCUUAAAAUUAUUAGUCCAUCAACAAAAUUAAUUGGCAACUGUUUUGAAAAUUGAUUAAUCAUUUCAAGCUAAAAUAGAGAAAAAAUCUGUGGCUUCAGCUUCUUAAAUGUGAGACUUUGCUGCUUUGCUUUUUUCUUGUGACAGUAGUGUUUUGGACUGUUGUUUGGACAAAACAAGACACUUAAAGUUAUCAGGAAAUUGUCAUUGUCAGAAAUUUACCCUCUUUCCUUAACCCAUAUCAAAGAAAAAUCAAGAAAAACAACCUUUAAUGGGGAAGUAAAUGGAAGAAAGGAUCAACAGAAGAAGGAACUUUCAUCCAGGACAUGCAAUAGAGUGAACAGAAUAGACCGAAUACAAGGUGGAAAAUCUGAAUAGGUUGUGGAUGAAUAUGGAUCUGCGAGGAUGUCAAGCAACUUCCAAGUUCUGCCAAAUAGAUAGGACCUGAGGCACACGACCUCCUUUACUUCUUUACGUAAAUAAUUGGAGUACUUCCUUCACUACUGCCAAACUCUCAUCUGUUAAUGUACUUAAGGCAAAGCACAGUAAAUACAGACAUGACUAUAAUCUCUUCUUCAUAAGAAAUUGACCCGGCCUAAUCUAAGCAGUGGACAGGGAUAUGUGGUAUGUCUGCAUGUUUAUUCCCAUUUUUUGUUUAAAUUCGCUCUUGAAAUGAUCUGUGUGUGUUUUUGUGUGUCCCUGAUGUGGUCACGGCUGGCUGCAGCCAUUCAUUCAGCCCGUUGCUCAAGUGCCUGGGGCCUGUAACGUGUGCCUGCUGUCUGUUGGCUGCAGAUGCUAUCAUGUGUGAUUAGUACAGCGUGUUUGUUGGCACAUGCUCUCUCACUGUCUGAUAGCAGUUACAUUCUUCACCGCUGUGGGCUGCCCCGAGGAGAAAACCCCUGCACCUGCCUCUGUUUCUGCCUAAUGUAAACAGGUAAAAAAAAAAGAAA